UACGGAGGGUGCAAGCGUUAUCCGGAUUCACUGGGUUUAAAGGGUGCGUAGGUGGGUCUGUAAGUCCGUGGUGAAAUCUCCGAGCUUAACUUGGAAACUGCCAUGGAUACUAUAGAUCUUGAAUACUGUGGAGGUUAGCGGAAUAUGUCAUGUAGCGGUGAAAUGCUUAGAUAUGACAUAGAACACCAAUUGCGAAGGCAGCUGGCUACACAAAUAUUGACACUGAUGCACAAAAGCGUGGGGAUCAAACAGG
rnacentral:rRNA from 1 species